UCAGCACGUGCAAGUCAAAAGAGUUGGGGUGAAAGGAAAAAAAAAAGAAGUUAUUCUGCCAGAAGGAGAGCUUACAUCUGGAACCUAAGUUUUCGUACUCCUUUCUCUUAACGCAAAAGACGCGCAUUUUCUAGCUUUGCGUAGUACUAUUCCUGCUGGGGAGCUCUUUACAUACAGUCGGGUCAUCUUCGUUUGCACCACAAUCACCGAGCCCAGUUACGUGAUUACGCAAUGAAGGCUGUUUCUUAUAUUACAUUGGCGUUCUUUAGCCAAACAUACGUCUUUCACGCAUUUCUUACGACAUUGACUACGGCUGCGGACUAUUAUGAGGAAAGCACCACACCUUACCCAAACUGGCGGGAUGAUUGUAUGAAGAUAGGAAGACCGUGCGCUACCCACAUGGACUGCUGCGCCCGUUUAUUUUGCGAAGAUUACAACUGCGUAAACCCCUUCAAUCGAUGAUCGAGCAUGCCUGCAAUGCGAAUAAGCAUAUAAAAAUAAACAAUGUUGUUGA